UUGUUUAAUUAGUGAUCUAAUGAUUGGUAUUUAACAGAUGGACAUUGGCAGUGUUACCUGAUUGGUGUCUAAUCACCGGAUGUGAGGUCAUUGCUCCGUAUGAUCAGCUUUGUCAAGGAUGCUUUGGUCAUGUCUGCUUCACUUGUGUCCUUCUGAUAAGUCAUUCCUCACCUCUACCUGGGAAAUAUUAAAGAUGCAACAGUUCAGGAGCAGCUGGAAAGAAAUAACAUCACAUCCUGUCCAUUUACGAGAACCCAGCUCCCGUCUUCCAGGGGAUGACCUGCCUCUGUAUUUCUGCAGCAGACCUGCC